AAGUCGUAACAAGGUUUCCGUAGGUGAACCUGCGGAAGGAUCAUUACGCUAUACCAUCGGGGGGCCGGCGCUUGAGAUUGCGGCACCCAUCAGGGAAGCCCUCUCUCCUGUCCGCCCUGUCUGAAUAUACCCAUGAUUUUUGCGUACCCAUUGUUUCCUCGGCAGGCUUGCUUGCCAGUAGGACAUUUUUCAAACCUUUUGUAAUUGCAGUCAGCGUCAGAACAACUUAAUAGUUACAACUUUCAACAACGGAUCUCUUGGUUCUG
rnacentral:misc_RNA from 1 species